GUCUUCAUGGCGCAGUUGGUUUAGCGCGUUGGUCUCAUAACGUCUUGUUAAUGAUCAGAUGAAUGAUCUGGCCAUCCAAAGGUCGCGAGUUCGAGUCUCGCUGAGGACA
rnacentral:tRNA from 1 species